GCAUGGUUCUUCUUUCAAGCUUCUGUCCUUUCCAACCACUGGUGAAUUACAGCAACACUUAGGCAAAAGAGGCAGCCACCAUUUAUCAUUUAUUGUAAAAGUAUUUUUACUGCUGAAAGUAUCAUUCAGGACUGAAAAUGUUUGGUUCACAAAGAGUUAUCUGUUCUGAAGCAGUCUGGUGCCUCUGAAACAAGCUGCCAGCAGUUCCCGGCAGUGAGCUGGACGAGGACAGCUGAGGGGAAUGCCGGGAGGAGCUGAGCUCCCAGGAGGCAGCAUGGAGAGAAAGCAUCUGGUGGUGGGGAACCAUGACCUGAGCCACUGGAAACCAUGGGCAGGGAGACACAUCCUAAUGCCUGUAGUCACGUCCUUUCCAAGGAGAUCAGCAGUUCUCGUAAUUGACUUCCCGUAGGACUUCAGUAAGCACAGAGAUUUUUUCUUCUCGUCCACUGAAACCAGAUGCAGAAGCAGAAACAGUCUCUGGACCCCUUGGGAAUGCAUGCUGGUGAUAUAAGCAAAGGCACAGUAUUAUAUAGAUGAGGAUGCAAAAAGACAACAGAUUUCCCUGUGGCAUCUUUCUGUGCUUCUGCUGCAACAAUUAAGUUAACAUGUCACAUCUGCUAUACAUCCUAAUGAGGGGAAAUAAGAGGGAUUCAAACCCAAUUCAUCCAAGAGCAAGGGAUCUGAGAUGCUCGUUUCUAUAGCCCUAGAAGCAAAAGCUGUUAUUACAGCUGAGAAAAUCUCAGCAACAAGAAAAUUCUCCUGCCUGAGCAGGUCUCACUCCAGAAGCCUGGAGGUCCACAGGCAGAAUACUACUUCUGUGUUUUGCUAUCCCAAAUACAGUUGUCUGUUUUGAAAGCAAGGACAGUUCUAUUCUUUUAAGCAACUUCAAAACAUGAACUGUGUUGCCACCUUUUGAAAAGUGUAUGUGUGUGAUGCUCUUUGUUUUUUUUGGUGUGUUUGCUUUGUUUUGUUUUGUUUUGUUUUGUUUUUUACUUUUAACAAAGUAAAAGUAAAAAGAGAGACAUCCAAGCUAGUUUUGUGAUUCCUACCGGACCAUACUGUAGUUAUAUUCCUCCCUUAGAAGACUCAUAGAAGAAAAUUGAAAGAGUGGUCUUUGUUUCAUGGUUUAUUAAAUGAAAAAUAAAUAAAUAAAUAAGGGGAAAAGCAGCUUGCUGCAGAAAAUACCCUCUCUGUCUCUCUCCCUAAGGCAUAGAUUUAUAAAAAAUUUAUUCCAGCUCUCUGAUAUUUGAGCAGCAGGACAGUUCAGAUCAAGUAGUAUGUCUGUACUUACCUAAAAUUUACAGUUUCUAUCUGUCAGAAAGCAAAUAAAUCAUCAUGCACUGCCUUACUAAAUUAAAUUGCUGCACUAGAUUCAUUUUCCUCCUUAGUCCAGAUUACAUUUGUAUGAAUUUCACCAUAAAAUAGUGAAUGGCAUUUGUAUUUUAGUACUAGUCCAGACUCAUCUGGACUCAGUUGUGAAGAAUUUUGCCAUCAGGAGGACCUCACAUGGUCUGACUACAAAUGUUCUCAAAACAGCAGAUCUUCACGCAAGUCAUAACUAUUCCAUGGUUGUACUAGGUGAGAAGAAUGCAUGUUUGAUAUCAGAUACAUACAUUUUUAAUGCUGUUUGUCAAAAGGAGUAUGAUAUCAGUACAUAGGGCAAAGGCUCUCAGCGGUGUUUAAUAAGAUGAACUUUAUACUUUACUGUGAAAUUGAGAUAGAAUUCAUUGCUGAGGACAUGGUCAAUGUGAGGAUAAGAUUGUACCUUGCUGAAAUAAGAAGGGAAGAAAAUAUACAGGGAACUACCAGCAGUAUCCAAAUGAAAAUAGUUUUUUUAGCUUUAGUUUUUGGGAAAGUAGGAUACCUUAUUUUGAUUUGGAACAGAUUCGCCACUCAGCUAAAACUUCAGACUGAAGAUCUCUUCUUGACCCAUUAGAAUAUGAUGAAAGACUUCACAGGGAG